rnacentral:rRNA from 1 species
UACAGAGGUCUCGAGCGUUGUUCGGAUUCAUUGGGCGUAAAGGGUGCGUAGGUGGCGCUGUAAGUCGGGUGUGAAAUCCUGAGGCUUAACCUCGGAACUGCAUUCGAUACUGCGGCGCUUGAGGACUGGAGAGGAGACUGGAAUUCAUGGUGUAGCAGUGAAAUGCGUAGAGAUCAUGAGGAAGACCAGUGGCGAAGGCGGGUCUCUGGACAGUUCCUGACACUGAGGCACGAAGGCCAGGGGAGCAAAACGGG